CCUACGGGGUGCAGCAGUGGGGAAUAUUGGACAAUGGGCGAAAGCCUGAUCCAGCCAUGCCGCGUGUGUGAAGAAGGCCUUCGGGUUGUAAAGCACUUUCAGUGGGGAAGAAAGCCUUGGGGUUAAUACCCUCGAGGAAGGACAUCACCCACAGAAGAAGCACCGGCUAACUCCGUGCCAGCAGCCGCGGUAAUACGGAGGGUGCGAGCGUUAAUCGGAAUUACUGGGCGUAAAGCGCGCGUAGGCGGUCUGAUAAGCCGGUUGUGAAAGCCCCGGGCUCAACCUGGGAACGGCAUCCGGAACUGUCAGGCUAGAGUGCAGGAGAGGAAGGUAGAAUUCCCGGUGUAGCGGUGAAAUGCGUAGAGAUCGGGAGGAAUACCAGUGGCGAAGGCGGCCUUCUGGACUGACACUGACGCUGAGGUGCGAAAGCGUGGGUAGCAAACAGGAUUAGAUACCCCGGUAGUC
rnacentral:rRNA from 1 species